AGGCUUGCUCCAGCAUCACACAGUGCAAGCCCUAAGAUUCCUGAGUGGGCAGCAGACAGAAGAGGUGCACAGAGGGAGCCAGAGAGGCUGCACAGUUUUCCUGACUUCACACCCACCGCACCCAAACUACCGGACCGACAAACCCACACUGCCUUAUGGGACUCUGUCUUGCCUGUAGCAGGUAUUGGCUGACUUUGGCCCAAACAUGGCCUUGCUUGUUUAGCCUAACUGCUCGAUUUCCACUCUGCUUGAUACAUGUAUGUUUUUUGUUUUUUUUUACCUCCUGGCAGAGGACACAGCGGGCUAUUUAAUGCUGAGCAUUGUUGUUAUGCCAUACAAUGUUAUGCCAUACAAUUGUACUACUAUGCCUUUUGAAUUGCUUGCUAUAGCUGUUGUGGCUCUGCAAGUCUGUUUGUAACUACAAGC